rnacentral:rRNA from 1 species
UGGUGGAGUGAUUUGUCUGGUUAAUUCCGUUAACGAACGAGACCUUAACCUAUUAAUUAGUGACGCGAAUCUGGUGGCAACACCAGUCGAUUCGUGGCUUUUACACUUCUUAGAGGGACUCUCGGCAUCUCUAGCCGAUGGAAGUUUGAGGCAAAAACA